rnacentral:rRNA from 1 species
UAUAGCAAUAGCUAAUUGUAUCCAUACUUAAUGGAUACAAUAUUGACUUUGUCAAAUAAAAUUCUAGGCAGAAUUAUGAUAAUGACAUUGGCUGCCUAUGUGUCUUGACCAAAUUACGUGCCAGCAGUCGCGGUAAUACGUAGAAGACUAGUGUUAUUCAUCUUUAAUAGGUUUAAAGGGUACCUAGACGGUAAAUCAAGCCUAAAUAGGGGACUAAUUUACUAGAGUUACUUACGAGGGGGCACUAAAGUACUGGUGGUGUAGAGAUGAAAUUCUGUAAUACUUUUUUCGUAAAGAAAACAAUGGCACAGGUAUAGGCGAAAGCAUCCCCUUAUGUGAUAACUGACGUUGAAGGACGAAGGCUUUGUGCAGCGAACAGGAUUAGAUACCCUAGUAGUCGAAGCAGAAAAUGAUGAAUGUCAUAGAUUAGACAUUUAAGUUUAUUCUAUAAAUGAAAGUGUAAGCAUUCCACCUCAAGAGUAAUUUGGCAACAUUGGAACUGAAAUCAUUAGACCGUUUCUGAAACCAGUAGUGAAGUAUGUUGUUUAAUUUGAUGAUCCGCAAAAAACCUUACCACAACUUGAAUAUUUAUAUCAAUACCUUUUCAUUAAUCUAUAUCUAUCUAUUUUUAAUAAGUAUAAUAGGAUUUUUUUAAUAAAAAGAUUAAAGGCAUAUUUACAAGCGUUGCACGGCUGUCUUCAGUUAAUGUCGCGAGACUUUGGUUAGUUCCAUUAAAUUAACGCAAACCCUUACUUUAUUUUUACAUAAAGUAGUUCCCCACUAUAUUGGAUAAGAUAACAGGGACUAAGACAAGUCAUCAUGGCCUUAAUGUUGUGGGCUAUA